rnacentral:rRNA from 1 species
UACAGAGGUCUCAAGCGUUGUUCGGGUUCAUUGGGCGUAAAGGGUGCGUAGGUGGCGGGGUAAGUCAGGUGUGAAAUUUCGGAGCUUAACUCCGAAACUGCAUUUGAUACUGCCUUGCUUGAGGACUGGAGAGGAGAUUGGAAUUCACGGUGUAGCAGUGAAAUGCGUAGAUAUCAGGAAGAACACCGAUGGCGAAAGCAGCUCUCUGGGACGGUACUGACGCUGAGGCGCGAAAGCGUGGGGAGCGAACAGG